AGUGAACGCUGGCGGUAGGCCUAACACAUGCAAGUCGAACGGCAGCACAGUAAGAGCUUGCUCUUACGGGUGGCGAGUGGCGGACGGGUGAGGAAUACAUCGGAAUCUACUUUUUCGUGGGGGAUAACGUAGGGAAACUUACGCUAAUACCGCAUACGACCUACGGGUGAAAGCAGGGGAUCUUCGGACCUUGCGCGAUUGAAUGAGCCGAUGUCGGAUUAGCUAGUUGGCGGGGUAAAGGCCCACCAAGGCGACGAUCCGUAGCUGGUCUGAGAGGAUGAUCAGCCACACUGGAACUGAGACACGGUCCAGACUCCUACGGGAGGCAGCAGUGGGGAAUAUUGGACAAUGGGGGCAAGCCUGAUCCAGCCAUACCGCGUGGGUGAAGAAGGCCUUCGGGUUGUAAAGCCCCUUUGUUGGGAAAGAAAAGCAGCAGGUUAAUACCCCGCUGUUCUGACGGUACCCAAAGAAUAAGCACCGGCUAACUUCGUG
rnacentral:rRNA from 1 species